rnacentral:rRNA from 1 species
AUUGAACGCUGGCGGCAGGCCUAACACAUGCAAGUCGAGCGGAGCGACGGACGGGGGAGUAAUGACUAUGAAGGUGCCUGGUAGAGGGGGAUAACGGCCGGAAACGGGCGCUAAUACCGCAUGCGAUCAAAGGAGUGUAGGUCGGAUUAGCGAGUUGGUGGGGUAAAGGCCUACAAAGGCGACGGACCGUAACUGGUCUGAGAGGAUGAUCAGUCACACUGGAACUGAGACACGGCCCAUACUCCUACGGGAGGCAGCAUUGGGGAAUAUUGGACAAUGGGCGAAAGCCUGAUGCAGCCAUGCCGCGUGUGGGAAGAAGGUCUUCGGAUUGUAAAGCACUUUAAGUUGGGAGGCGUUACCAACAGAAUAAGCACCGGCUAACUUCGUGCCAGCAGCCGCGGUAAUUC